CAGCAGCCACGGGAAUACAGAGGGUGCGAGCGUUAAUCGGAUUUACUGGGCGUAAAGCGUGCGUAGGCGGCUAAUUGAGUCGGAUGUGAAAUCCCCGAGCUUAACUUGGGAAUUGCAUUCGAUACUGGUUAGCUAGAGUGUGGGAGAGGAUGGUAGAAUUCCAGGUGUAGCGGUGAAAUGCGUAGAGAUCUGGAGGAAUACCGAUGGCGAAGGCAGCCAUCUGGCCUAACACUGACGCUGAGGUACGAAAGCAUGGGGAGCAAACAGGAUUAGAUACCCGCGUAGUCCCUGUCUCUUAUAA
rnacentral:rRNA from 1 species